ACCUGCACGCCUCCAGCCCAGCAGCCCUCCACCGCUUUCUUCUCUCUCACGGUCUCACCUGCUCUCCCCGUGACCCUAUCGGCCUCCAUCCCAUCCCCACUCCCCAGCGGCGGCCGCGACCGCCGCGCCGUCGGGUCAUCCGUGCCCCACGCCCUCGCCCGUGCCGCCCCCUACCCCGCACCCUUGCCCCUCACCCUCACCCUCGCCCGCGCUGCACCUAGCCCCGCACCCCCGCCCUGACCUGCCCCAUUGCCGCUCACUAUUCUGUCGCGCCGCCGUCAUUCCCCCUCACCAAUCCCCGCUCCGCUAAUUCCAAAACCUAUCGGCACCAUAGCCGACAGCGGCGGUGGCUACUAUCCGUUCGUUCCUACGGAGGCCCAAUUCUGGUCGAUGGUAAUGAAUGUGAAGGCGUCUUUACAGAUCAGUGGCUAUCUCCUCCCCGACUACGAAAUUAUUGAGGCCCUGAAGGCAUCCCAUAUGGAUCAAUAGCAGACUCUGAAUUUGUUUCUCUACAAGUACACCUUGGUCCCAGGACUGAUUGCUGGCGGAGCGUCCGCACCUGCCUUCUACGCUAUCCCCACCAACCCAGGUAUCUCCCAUCUCACCCCCAAACCCAAUAGCAGGUAUGAUUUUGGGGAAUUUAACUAUCACAGCAAUUUCAGGACAGUAUAGGCCUCUUGGAGCUUACAACCAACAUACUAUUCCAACAAUGCCUCAUCAAAGCCAAUCACCUUUAGUUCCUGGCAGAGUGUCCCCACUCCAAUUUGAUGCCUUCUACGCUAUCCCCGCCAACCCAAGUAUCUCUGCUUCCUCUCACGCCUCCUCCCUCCCUACCUUCCUGCUCCCUCUCAAAUCUCCCUCCCAUCUCACCCCCAAACCCAAUAGCAGAUAUGAUUUUAGGGAAUUUAACCAUCACAGCAAUUUCAAGAAAAUAUAGGCCUCUUGGAGCUUACAACCAACCGACUGUGCAAACAGUGCCACAUCAAAACAAAUCACAUCCGAUAUUUGAAACUGCUGAUAAAGGUAAUCUUUGAGCAUGCAGCACCUAAUGUACUUUGAAGCCCAAAAAUGGGUCCGGUCUCGGUGGCACAAAGUUGUGCUCAUGCACCUCCUUGGAAUUCAAGCCCGACCACUAUUUACCAUUGCCAUUCUGGUUUUCAGGAGCUCAUUUCCUCAGUGAGCAGAGUUCGAUUAGUGGAUCUACUGGCCAACCUCACUACCUUCCUUAGGCUCAUCCGAUAGCCAAGGAUCCCUGCAUAUUGUUGGCCCUGAUCAAGUUAAUCCGCCACCUCUCAUGUCACCUCAGAUGCCGGGCCUAAAAGUAGGCAGCAUAAAAGCCUGUCAGCCCCAGUCAGCCCAAGAGCAAGCUCCCCCAAAGAAAUCAGCCCCAGAAUGGUCAGGCCAGUAGCAGCGGCUCAGAGUUAUGGAACAUAUCGGUGGAUGAAUUGGUGCGCCAGUACUACAAAGGAACACUGGCGAGAUGGUUGAAGCUGCACUUAAGAAUCCCUGUGCGGGUCUCCAAGAGGAGGGAAACUAAUUUACUCUGCCAAGCCUACAGGGUUGUUAUACGUUAGUUCCGUAAUGGAAAGAGUUGGGGGUGAAAACAUGCGGGUGAGAAAUGAUAGCAAAUUUUUCAUUGGUAAUGGAAAGAGUUGGGGGUGAAAACAUGCGGGUGAGAAAUGAUAGCAAAUUUUUCAUUGAUUUCCUUGCAAAUCCUGACGCCAUAUUGAAGGAUUUCUUGGCAUACAAAAUGUGACCGAGUCUGUGCUCGACAAGCAUUUCUUGCUUGAUGGAGAACUCCCAAUCUAUGUUGGACACCUAAAAUAAUUCUGUAAGAAAUUAUGUGACAUGGGAGCUGAUUGUCUUGAGAAGUCUGAUAAAGUUAAUAGAUAUCUGGAUAUUAUCUGGAAUCAUAUGUGUUUUGAUUAUUCA